GAUGAACGCUGGCGGCGUGCUUAACGCAUGCAAGUCGAACGGUGAACGAGGGAGCUUGCUCCCUCCGGAUCAGUGGCGAACGGGUGAGUAUCACGUGAGCAAUCUGCCCUGGACUCUGGGAUAAGCGUUGGAAACGACGUCUAAUACCGGAUACGAGACGCGAAGGCAUCUUCAGCGUCUGGAAAGAACUUCGGUCCAGGAUGAGCUCGCGGCCUAUCAGGUAGUUGGUGAGGUAACGGCUCACCAAGCCUACGACGGGUAGCCGGCCUGAGAGGGUGACCGGCCACACUGGGACUGAGACACGGCCCAGACUCCUACGGGAGGCAGCAUUAGGGAAUAUUGCACAAUGGGCGCAAGCCUGAUGCAGCAACGCCGCGUGAGGGACGACGGCCUUCGGGUUGUAAACCUCUUUUAGCAGGGAAGAAGCGAAAGUGACGGUACCUGCAGAAAAAGCACCGGCUAACUACGUGCCAGCCGCCGCGGUAAUAC
rnacentral:rRNA from 1 species